AGGAAGUGAAUUACAGGAGUACAUCAUCAGCAGCACGAGGUCGUCGUCGUCGUCAUCAUCGUUGUCAUCAUCGUCGUCAUCAUCGUCGUCAUCAUCGUCGUCGUCAUCAUUGUCGUCAUCCUCCUCGCACUAUAAUUUCAGUAUUGUCGGCGUAUCAGUAUUACGAUCGUGUUAUUCACUACAUUUUUUUUUUUACGAAAAAUAAUUAUUUUGUAUUGUUAAUAAUGAGAAAUCCGUUUUGUAUAAUUUUAAACGUGAGCUUUUUGAAACCCGUUUCUCAUCUUUCGGUACCAUGUAAAUGUUUUUUUUUACAAUGUCAAUAUUCCAUAUACAACUGUACUGCAUUGUACAUAUAACGUAGUACUGUGACAUACAGUACCGUAGACUGUAAUCCCAUUACCGAAUUGUAUUUUACGUACGGUCUAUCACCAAGGGUCAAGAGGUCAUCGUGGACAAUGCCACUGUACCCCCGUCCAUUGGCGUCGCUUCCUUCCCUCUGCCAGUCUCCAAGGUCAAAAGGUCAUCGUAGACAAUGCCACUGUACCCCCGUCCAUUGGCGUCGCUUCCUUCCCUCUGCCAGUCUCCAGGGUCAAAAGGUCAUCACGGACAAUGCCACUGUACCCCCCCGCGAUUGGCAUUUACCGACAUUGAGCCACGGUCUAUCCACUGCUGGACGGAGACCUUCCCUGACCGCUGUCACCUCUCACCCCGUCGAUCCGCCUCCGUGCGAGCCGAUUCCAUCCGCUCCAUCUCCGAGGGGCCGGACGCUCCCACCUGGGCCGCGUUUUGGCUGCCUUUGCAUCGUCGCUGCUGGCGCCGGCCUUGAACGGUCACCGGCCAUCCACCCAUCGUCGUUAUUUUCAUCAUCAUCGUCAUCUCCAUCGUCAUCACCAUCGUCGUCAUCGUAAUUGUCGUUGUCGUCAUCAUCGUCAGUGUCAUCACCAUCGUCGUCAUUGUCAUAGUCGUUGUCAUCAUCGUCAUCGUCGUUGUCAUCAUCGUCGUCAUUGUCGUCAUCCCCUCCUGACCGCGACGCGUCCCGAACGAGCCCCCGCCCACUUAACUCUCCCCCACAGUCGCUGCGAUCUCUCUUACAUCUCAUCCGCGUAACGCUCCUCUCACCCACGUACCUACUCCCGUAGGUGUAAAAUCCCUCACCCCUCACCUUCUCCCCUUCCCCCCCCCCCCAUGCUAACCGGUAGCCCCGAGGGGGGUGGUGUGGGGGGGGGGGCAGUGAGCGUCCACAUCGGCCGCCUUUUAUAAUUUCUGUUUUUAAAUCAGCGUUUCAAAGACAAAGAUCCUACCCCCCACCCCCCCUCCCGUGUGUAGCCUCUAACACAGCGGUCCCCAAACUUUUUGGCACCAGGGACCGAUUUCGUGGAAGACGAUAUUUUCAUGAACGGUGGGAGGGUUCAUCAUUGGGUCUUUCCCCCCCCCCUUUUCAAAUAAGCUCUCCAGCGACUAUUUGUUUCGUUACUCAUCUUGGCUACUAGGGGGUUAGCGCUUGCGGGCUUCAUACCAACAACACCACGUGACUGAGACUGAGCGCGCGGUGCGGGAAAGAUGCGCGCACGGGAAGUUGUAAAAUAAUAAAACAAUGGGGGGCGAGUCACGCUCGGACUCACCGCUCUCACCUCCUGCUGCUGUGCGGCCCGGUUCCUAACAGGCCACGGACCGGUACCAGUUCCUUGGCCCGGGGGUUUGGGGACCCCUGCUCUAACAGACUGUCGGGGCAAGUGGCUGUUAGCGAGUAGCAGCAUCCCUGUGGCACACGGAGAGGGGGAGGGUGGGUGGCCAGCAACCAUGCCAGUCCGCCUUUGUCUCUCCCCCCCCCCACACACACACACCAGCAGCAUCUUUGUAAGCAUCGUUAGGGGUGCCCGCACGCCCGGAACGAGUGGAUGGGUGGGUUCACGUCUUAAGGGGUCACCUGGGUUCUCCUUCCUCUUUGCGUGUAAGCGAAUCGCUUGUUUUGUUGUUGUUGUUGUGUAAAGUUAAAAAAAAGUUAAAAAGUGUCGACGUGACAUUCAGCAGUAAACGAUUUUUUUUGUUUUGGGCGAGAUUUUUUGUUUUUACUUCUCCCCCCCCCCCCCCCACUCGUUGUGUUUCCCCGUGCCCGGUUCGGCGAGGGGCCUCGUUCGUGUCGAAUUGUCUUGUUAAAUAAUUAAAGUGAACGUGCAGCCUCCCACAA